UACAGAGGGUGCAAGCGUUAAUCGGAAUUACUGGGCGUAAAGCGUGCGUAGCCGGUUAUGUAAGUCAGAUGUGAAAGCCCCGGGCUCAACCUGGGAAUUGCAUUUGAGACUGCAUAGCUAGGGUGCGGAAGAGGGAAGCGGAAUUUCCGGUGUAGCGGUGAAAUGCGUAGAUAUCGGAAGGAACACCAGUGGCGAAAGCGGCUUCCUGGUCCAGCACCGACGUUCAGGCACGAAAGCGUGGGGAGCAAACAGG
rnacentral:rRNA from 1 species